rnacentral:rRNA from 1 species
ACAGCAGUAGCCGCGGGAAUACAGAGGGUGCGAGCGUUAAUCGGAUUUACUGGGCGUAAAGCGUGCGUAGGCGGCUUCUUAAGUCGGAUGUGAAAUCCCUGAGCUUAACUUAGGAAUUGCAUUCGAUACUGGGAAGCUAGAGUAUGGGAGAGGAUGGUAGAAUUCCAGGUGUAGCGGAGAAAUGCGUAGAGAUCUGGAGGAAUACCGAUGGCGAAGGCAGCCAUCUGGCCUAAUACUGACGCUGAGGUAGGAAAGCAUGGGGAGCAAACAGGAUUAGAUACCCCUGUAGUCCCUGUCUCUUAUAC